rnacentral:rRNA from 1 species
UACGGGGGGGGCAAGCGUUGUUCGGAAUUACUGGGCGUAAAGGGCUCGUAGGUGGCCAACUAAGUCAGACGUGAAAUCCCUCGGCUUAACCGGGGAACUGCGUCUGAUACUGGAUGGCUUGAGUUCGGGAGAGGGAUGCGGAAUUCCAGGUGUAGCGGUGAAAUGCGUAGAUAUCCGGAGGAACACCGGUGGCGAAGGCGGGUCUCUGGGCCGACACUGACGCUGAGGAGCGAAAGCGUGGGGAGCGAACAGG